rnacentral:lncRNA from 1 species
AUAAAAAUGUAAAGUUUAUUUGAUGUUUUCGCCGCGACGAUUCGAAAUGAAACGAAGAAAUUAGCAGAAGUGAAGGUCACCGGAGAGGUGAAUGAGGAUUUUACCACUGGAACUAGAGAGCUUGGCUCUGACUGGUCUACUACAGCAAGGAAUGUGCCAGGGGCCAAUCUGAUGAACAUGUGGCAGAAGAUUUGGCAAUGGGUGAAGAAACACUGAGAUUGAAAUGCAACCACAGGUGGAGGCUUCACCCAAACUUUUCAGACGGAUGCGAGAUACAAAGUUACCCAAGUAUAAAUGGUUGAAGGUUUUGGAGAGCCAGACAAGAAGGCAGGAAAUGUGAUGUCACUUUUACUUCAAUAAACAUGAACAGCAGCAGGAGCAACAACAGCAUCAGCAGCCGAAACCUCAACUGCAAUAAGAGAUGCAGCAACCGCACCGACAACAUCAAGAGCAACAGCAAAAAUACCUACAUGUAUUACAGCAGAAAUGCAACAAUCACAUUGGCAACAUCAACAGCAGCAGGAGCUCCAACAACCAUGCAGGGAACAUCGCGCGCAACAUAAAUAACUUCAUCAAGAGAUGCAACAACCACAGUGGUAAACAUCAACAGCAGUAGCGACAACGACAGUAGAAACAAAGCCAAUGUCAAGGAUUAAGCAAUCAUACAGGAAACAACACAAGCGGCAACAUCAAUAAAUGCAUCAGGGGAUGCAACAGCCAUACUUGUAAACAGCAGCAGUAGCAGCGAUGACAAGAGCAACCACACAGGCAACACCUUGAGCAACAUCAGUAGCAAUGCACCAGCAAUGAAACAAUCACACCAACAACACCAA